GAUGUUGGGUUAAGUCCCGCAACGAGCGCAACCCUUAUCGUUAGUUACCAUCAUUAAGUUGGGGACUCUAGCGAGACUGCCAGUGACAAGCUGGAGGAAGGCGGGGAUGACGUCAAAUCAUCAUGCCCCUUAUGACCUGGGCUACACACGUGCUACAAUGGAUGGUGCAGAGGGAAGCGAAGCCGCGAGGUGAAGCAAAACCCAUAAAACCAUUCUCAGUUCGGAUUGUAGUCUGCAACUCGACUACAUGAAGUUGGAAUCGCUAGUAAUCGCGAAUCAGCAUGUCGCGGUGAAUACGUUCUCGGGCCUUGUACACACCGCCCGUCACACCACGAGAGUUGAUAACACCCGAAGCCGGUGGCCUAACCGCAAGGAAGGAGCUGUCUAAGGUGGGAUUGAUGAUUGGGGUGAAGUCGUAACAAGGUAUCCCUACG
rnacentral:rRNA from 1 species